rnacentral:rRNA from 1 species
AUUGAACGCUGGCGGCAGGCCUAACACAUGCAAGUCGAGCGGAUGAAGGGAGCUUGCUCCUGGAUUCAGCGGCGGACGGGUGAGUAAUGCCUAGGAAUCUGCCUGGUAGUGGGGGAUAACGUCCGGAAACGGGCGCUAAUACCGCAUACGUCCUGAGGGUGAAAGUGGGGGAUCUUCGGACCUCACGCUAUCAGAUGAGCCUAGGUCGGAUUAGCUAGUUGGUGGGGUAAAGGCCUACCAAGGCGACGAUCCGUAACUGGUCUGAGAGGAUGAUCAGUCACACUGGAACUGAGACACGGUCCAGACUCCUACGGGAGGCAGCAGUAGGGAAUAUUGGACAAUGGGCGAAAGCCUGAUCCAGCCAUGCCGCGUGUGUGAAGAAGGUCUUCGGAUUGUAAAGCACUUUAAGUUGGGAGGAAGGGAAGUAAGUUAAUACCUUGCUGUUUUGACGUUACCAACAGAAUAAGCACCGGCUAACUUCGUG